GGGGGAUGGUGGGUGGGAGGGAAGCCACUUCUCUUCUUCCAGAAAAGUGAUUUAAAAGCAAAAAUGCAAAAAAACCCACAACCCCAUGAAUAACAAUAAUAAAUUAAACUUUCCCAUUUGCUAGCUUUAGUCACAGCUAAAUGCAGUGAUUUUGAAAAUGCAUUCCUUUCAGUCAGCUGCCCGUGCAAUGAUGACCUGACAUUUCUGAGGGGGGCAAUCAAAUAUGAUCCUGUUAUUUGUUUGCCCACCUGUUACAAAGCACGGAUAGAUAGGGCCCUGUGCCGAAGUGAGAUUAAGUUCCUGUGUCCUCUGGCUCAGCUAUUUCUAACCUUGCCUGCACCAUGCUGUCUUUGUGCUCUGUGGGAUUGUGUUCUUGCCAGAGACAUUCAGAUGUGCUUCAUUUGCCUGGAUCCUGGGGUCUGAUUAAAGGAGGGGAAGAGCUGUAUAGCUUAUGUGCGUGAUCUUUAUGUGUGGUCCUUUCUUGCUAUGCUGAGGAGUUAGUUGUCUCUGUAAGAAUCAAUCAAUAACCUACCAUCCAGCCUCGCUCAGUGUGCUCCGGUUCAGUACACUGUGGACUCGAAAUACCUUUCCAAGUACAGCAACCUUAUGAUGCAGUGCUUAAUGUUCCUUGAUCAUGUAGCCAAGUAAGUUAGAAAGAUUGAUUGCCUUGUCUUUUCAUGUUUCUGUAGCUCUGGGCUGAAUGAUGGGCAAUUCCUGGCUCUCUUGGGCUAGCUUCACUCUUGCAGCUUCUCCUUGCCAACCUCUCUGCCAGCCCUUUGAUGCCUCCUCCAGCUUUUGACAUUGAUGGGUCUGCCUCCAUGGUCAGUUCACAAGCUCCUAAAAAGGCUCUGACUACAAGUCCCUAGGUCUGUCCAGGAUGUGGAUCUUUUUCAAUCUGGGAAAGUCACUGCUGAGUUGACUUCUGCUGUCCCUGAGGGCUUUGUAACUAUGGCUCCUCAUCUUAGAUGUGAGCAGUGUUUUCUUCUAGCUCCCAGCAAACGUGUCUCAGCAGCAGUGCGGAUGUGGGGACCUCAUGUCUCCUAGGACAUACAUCUGGGUGAUGCUGUACCAGAGGCACCAGAUCUCCAUGAUCACAGAUGCAGUUUUCCUGGAACAUAUCCUUCACGUCAGCCCAGUCCAGGUGACACCAGGUCUUUGCUGCCCUUGAGAGAGCCAGGAAAAGAGUUGGUACCGUCGUGGCAAGCAGCGACCGGGAGCCCUAGGAGGCAGGUGUGGAAUGGGGAGGUCAUCACAUUCCUAUCUUGGAGGAGCACUAGGAGCAAAAUGCCCAGCUGGUGUGAAGCCUUCAGAUCCUGCAGGAAGGAGAGCUGCAGAAAUUCCUCAGGAAGAUGGAUAAGUACUCUCUCAAAUUUGUCAGCAUCUAAAUAUAGUGGCUCAACCCUUGCUGAAUGACAUGUAAUCAGACCUCUACCUUAAUGCUGUAUUAUAUUGUUAUGCUGCAUUAUCAAGAAUUAUGAUCAUAUAUGUGUGAUUAAUAUACCAAUGCCAAUGCAAUGUAUCAUAAUUAUUUUUUUUCCCACAGAGGCAACAUAUAUGGGUGCAUGUGGUAGUAAAGACAUCCUUUAAAGGCAGGCUUCAAACUUUCUCAAAAAUUAAUCAUCUUGGGCAGGGGGGAGGGUCAAAAGAUUGCUAUAAAUAUACCUGUUACAAACUCCAGGAUAACUGCAGUUUGUGGAUUUGCUUUUCAGGUGGGGAGAGUUUCUCUUUCAGUUUCUUGCAUUUUGGGGGAACUUUUGGGGUUUUUUUUGGCCAACAGGAUUAAUGUUUUAGAAGUAUAAUUUUUAAAAAUGUGAAAUGUCCAGCUGAAGAAUAAUAAAGACUAAAUUACUCAAUGAUCACAAGAAACUCUUCAAGAAGCUAUCAGAUAUCCCCAUAUUUAUAAAAUAUUUCAUGGUGUUGCAAGAGAAAAGAGACUUUACAAGAUUUCUGUGGAACAUGGAGCUUUUUAAAAAAUCCAUUGUUUUUUUUUUUCUAGAAAAUUAUCUUUUGAAGAACAGCAGUAUCUUCUUAGAACAAAGGCCUUGGAGGACCAAUUAACUCUAUUCCUUUUUCCAUAACAAAGCACAUCGCAACAGCCAGUUCACAAACUCCACUGUAAAAGCAACUCUAGUUUUUGCCUCACUAGUCCUAUCAGCAGGGGUUGCUCUAAGGUUAAAUGCAUUUGUGGAAAACUUUUGCUCAUUUGCCACUUUUUAACGUCAUCCUAUAACUUGAACAGCUGUUCUCCCAACCUGAUAUUUUCCUCCUGCUGAGCUUAGCUGAAGCCAGACUCAAGAGAUAGGCUCUUGUGGUCUCUCCUCAUAUGACAGCAUCUGUUUAAUCUCCCCAAGAAACUCCUUUCUCUAUCUGUUGGAUUCACCUUUCCUGAACACAGCUCGACUAGGGUUGAAUGCAAUCUGCCAGCCUGACUUUCACUGUUCUUCAGGUGCCUGAGCAUCUGUAAAGCACUUUUUUUAAUUCCCUGAAAAGGUGCCCAUGUAUCCUAGGAAGACCUGGACAUACUUCGUGUUCCCUUAGGAACAUCUCUUUCCAAAGGCUUCAUUCUAAAGGCUUUUCAAUUCAGAGGUGAAAGCAGAACAGGUGAUUAACACGUGGGAUUUACCUUAUCACAGCUGCUGUCAUUUGCCUCUGCAUUCCCACAAGGAUAAAGUCUCAUUGAGAUUGAGAUUCCUUUAAAGUAAAAUGAAUUCUGCAGGAAGACAGCUUUGGUGGUGUUUAGCUGAAGCAAGUAGCAGACUAGGACCCCAUAUUGUAUUUUUGGCUGUGAUGCUGAUAUGAUAUUAAACAUUUGACAGGUCAUUUCUUCUCUGUAUCCCCUGCAACCAUAUUUCUGUUUUGUAUGUUUACACUUCUGUGGUCCUUGGGGCAAUGGCAAUGUAUUAUAAUGCAUGGAAUAAAGCCUAGCACAGUGUGGCUCGGAGUCAGCGACUCUAAUUGCUGCUGUUUUAAAUACUAAUAAUCACAAUUCAACAGAAAAAAAUGUUUUUCAAGUAGGAAUUCUACUCUUAUCCCAGAGGCUGAUUGCUCUGACGUUAACAGCGCACAGUUCUAGUUUAGCUUUACCAUUUUGGUCCAAAGCUGAAAUACUGCAUCAUGGGAGCUCAAGGCUUUAAGAAUAGCAUCUUUCCUAUUCACAUCAGAUCAUUCAGCAUGUAAUCUUUUUAUCUCCUGCUGCAAUUGCUUCUUGUGGUGAGACCAAUCUUCUAUUCCAGCAUUAUUUGAAGUGAUUAGCUCUGACAGAUUCUUAAAUUCUGACUCCUAAACUUGAUUUUUGGAGGUAUCGAGCCUCGAUGCUUCAUGAUACAUUUCCCCCUAGAUUAUGAUCAAAAAUGGAGCAGUGAUUGUUGUUUGUUUGAAGUUGAAUCUUAUUUCCCUUUAGGCAUCUGAAUAAGGCAGUUUUCUGGAGCUUGAUACUCACAGAGGAAACACAAGAUUAAGAGCUUAAUCAAAGUAAGAAACAAUGCCUGGCAGGAGCCAAAUACCUCCCAGUCUCCUUCUCAGUAGCAGAUUGUGCUUAGAACUGUCUGUAAGAAAAUUCCCAGGCAGAAACUUUCUAAAGGAGUUUUUUUUUAAUGAUGUCAUGCCCAUCCACUGAAAGUGGGGAUUUUUUUCAGGGAUAUAUCAUCUGGGAUGAAACUUGUCCUUGGGGGAUAUUGGUCAUCAUUCAGCACUUCGCUGUGUACUUUUUGCCAAUGUUGAAACUGAAAAGAGAAGCCCCCCAGUAGAUUCAUAUCAAUGAAGGAAUAGAAGAAUAUUUGUCAUUCCAAAAUCUUCUAAGGAUGUAAAAAUACAUUUAGUAUACAUAUUUCUCUGAAAUAUAUCUCCCAUUGAAGAGAGCAUAAUGAUUUCUAUCUUAAAUGAAUCACAGACUCUUCUACACCCCAUAGAUAUAUGAUCCAGAAUCGAUGGCAGGUUUUGCUAUUUACUUCAAAGGCUUUAUGUUAGUCCUCUCUAUGUACAGCAAGAAUUAUUUUAGGAAAUUCACAUCUGGUAUGAAAUGUGGCAUCUGUUUAACAGUCUGGGGAAAGCUUUAGGCUGAGAGUCAAUAAAAAUAUUCCAGCCCAAACUUCAAUUUAAGUUUGCCAAACUGAGAUAUGACCAGGACAUGAACAAUCUGACCGCUGCUCUUCGAGAAGAUACUUGCAAAUGAACACAAGUGAUGAAUAGCCUGGGUUUUUGUCUAAUCCAGAUUUAGAGGGUCUUUUGAUACCUGAAUGUCAGCCUCCUAAUAAAGACAUUAUUACGUUUCUGAGAAAAGAAAAUGGUACAGUUACGCUAAGUAGCAGGAAAAGAAAUGUCUAUCCUAUGAGUGAAAGCUGGUCACCAGCUUGCACUAACAUUAUAAGGGGAGAUCCAGGAAAAAGCCAAAACACUAAAAUAAAAUGCCAGUGGUCAUACGAAAAAGGCAAGCUGUCUCUUUAAAUGGGAAACAAGAAUUGUGGUAAAUCAAUACAUAUUUCCAACAUUUUGAAAGUUAAUUCUGUUUCAUAUUUUGGACUUCAGGAGGCAGGAAAAGUCUUUAUUCUCCUCUGGAAUGGCUGAUAGUUCCUUUUGUAAAGCGCAGGACAAAAGGCUGCACUUAAUGAUCUUUUUGGCUCUAGCUGGUAGUGAAAGCCACCUAAUUGGCAGCCCGUAAGAGUGAAAUCUUCCACUUACCCACAGAAAAGCUACAGCUGUGAUAGCAGUAAGGCAAGCUACUCACCACUAGGAGAGGACUGUGGAGGAAAAUACUUAGGCCAUGUGAAAAAUGUGCUGUUCAUAAUCCAUUUGAACCAUUCAAUUCCAUUGAAAAUUAUACUGGGGGGCUGUGAUGUUGGCAUCUGGCCAUUGUGUUAAGGAGCCUCUCCAUUUCACCUCUAUUUGUGUAGCUCAAUGAAAAUUCCAGCAGGCAGGAAAUACUUCCAGUUGCUAAUGACCUAGGCUGUGUUUGAAUGAGUGGCUGGCAGCAGAAAGUAUUAGCACUCCCUAAUUUCAGUCCUUUUUGUAAGGACUCUCUUAAACCUGUAAUCUCUUGGUUUGUUCAGGGUUUGAUUAUUACUCUUCUCUAAAGACAAAACUUCAGUUUUAAUAUGACUAUUUUUAGGGAAGAAAGAUGUUAGGGAGGCUAAGCAGUUUUAGGCAAAUGGAAGAUACUAGUAGUUCAUCAUCUAGGAAAGCAUUAAGGUCCUUGGGUAGUGUUCCUCAUCUGCUGGACUGGAGCUCUACAGAGCAAAAAAUAGAAACAUCCCUUAAAGAAUUGUAUCAUCAGAUGGUACUGUGACCAGGACAAUGACUGCAAACCCCCUUCUUUCCUAACCUACUCCCACUCAGCAUUCUUCUGAUGUAGGAGAUGGAAAAUACAUAAACAGAUGGAAUAAAGAAAAUGAAUAGAUGUGUUUUUAAUGGAUUAAUUGUUACUGGAUUGUGAAUGAAAACCUCCAUGGAGACACAGCAUAGGAUGUCCUUGGAGCCCUUUCAGAAAGGAAAGGUGGUUCUUGGAUUUUAAAAGCUUGUGAAACUGCUCUAAGGGCAUUUCUGUUUGAGAAAUGCAGCUCCAGUAGAGCCAUUCUAGUGGCUCUACACAAUAAGUUGGGGAGAACCAUUUCUUUGUUACUCUGUGGAAAGUGAAACUGUCAAGAUGUUUGGGCAAGAAGAAUGGAAAGCAUCAGGUCAACAAAAGGCAAUAAGUCUGUAUCUGACAGAAAAAUCCCUUUAGUCUGCCAUUGAAAAUAGGGCUUGAUACUCACUGAUAACAGCAGAAAUAUCCCAGGGUGGCAGAGAAUAUAUCUGGAGGGGAUACAACCAAGUCAGGCAGAAUAGCUCAAAGUCAUGUACUGUAGCCAGAGAGGGGAGGCAUGUGAAGGACAGCAAAAGCCUUGUGUGAAGAUGGGAAAGGGGCCUCAAAUGUUUGUCCCUCAUAUAUAUAGAAAGUUCUGGAUAGAGGUGUUGAGUGGAAUCGAAACCCCUGUACAACGUGCUCUCUGGUGCAUUAGACCUCUGAUCACUCAUCCUCCUCCUCAACAUAAUGUUCCAGAGAUCCCUGUGCUCUUUAGUGCCCUUGUCCCAUUCUCUUCUGAACUGAAUCAACCCAUUCACAAGCUCUUGUCCUUCCCAUGCUAGAGCUCAGAUCAGCUCAGUAGCUUAGUGCAGAAUAACCAUUUUUAUUUUGUGAUUGAACUCAUUUUCCUCCAACUUCGUGAAUCAAAUCAGCAAACCAAGGAGUCCAAUGCAUACCUGGAGUAUCCAUGAGAGGCUACUGGGGGAUGUGAGUUUUCUCCUUCAUUGAAGGGGGUACCCUGGGUCUAUGACAUAGCAAUGCUGGGUUUGUGUACCUGCAGCUGCUGGCAUGACAUACAGCGCGUUUUUAAAUUUAAACUAAGAUAUUAGACUAGUAAUCAGCUAACCUAGAGUGCAGCAUUGUUUUUUGAGAAUUAAAACUGCAGUGCCUCUCCCACCCAGGCACCAUGGACCAGAAGACACCUGGGACGUCUGGUUCCAUCUGGCCCAGGAAAGUUGUGGAGAAGGAAACAGCCAGAGUAUUAUGUCCUCUACACAAGUUAUGGGAUACCUGAUCUGCAGCAAGGGAGACUGAGGCAAUCACAAGUUUCACAUUUUAAUCACCAGACUCUAUUUUUGUGCCUCCCUCCACCACUGCUUGCACAAGUCCAAAGCUGCUGGGCUUCCUUUAUCCUUGUAUAACUUCUGUAUCCUUGAGGAAUACCUAAAAUAUGUGGGCUUCCCCCAGCCCUGUGGGUGAGUACUCUUUCCCAUGGAUGUCUCUCCUCCUUAAAUAUCACAGAAAAACACAGAUAUGAAGAGAAACAGAUCUAUCAUAGUUUACCAUGGAAGCUAGCCCAAGAUGUAAAUAAUAAGAGGGAGGACAGGUCCCCAUGGGUCCAGAGGAUCUGCUUGGCUCUAAGUGCUGUGACAUCUCAGUGCUGUGUAGUCCCAACCAAAUGCUUCUGUCCCAGACCAGCACAGAGGGAUGGAUGGCCACUGAAAAAGGGAAGAGGGGAAAACUGACUGCAAGAUUUUACAGUGCUGUUUCCUGAAACUCUUUCCUGUAUUCUUUAUGUUUUAGUGUGCUCCUGUCUCUGUUUUCCUUUUCUCCCUGCAGAGGCGGCUCCCGUUGUCCUCCACAGUUCAUCUCUGCUGCAUGCCAUGGGUCUGGCAUUGCCACCUGACCACAGGGGGCUGGCUCAGACCCUGGGCUGUGAAGAAACCCAGCCAGUGUCUGAACACAGAGGCUUUACCUUCAAGAAGCAUGGUGUUAUCUAAGGGCAGGAGUGGAUUUGGGGGAUAUCGUCUGUGCUUUCAGUGCUUUGUUCACCUGGAACCACACAGGGUACACAGCACCACCCACUCCAGGAUGUGUCUGGGCAAUGAGGGGCUUGGCUUCUGUAGCCACCACAGGAAUAGGGAUGCAAACAGAGCCUGGCUUAUUGCAAGUGAGAUUGAGAGCUCACAGUCUUAAUACUGGUGGUCUAAUGGGCAAAAAAUUUGAGCCUGUGACUGGGACUUCACCCUCUCCCCAUUCCUGUUUGGGCCAGCUCAGGCAAAGAUACAUUGCUCAGCUGGCUGAGCUUAACCCUCUGCAUGCCCAUCUUCAUAGACUCGGAGUCUGCUUUAAAUCAAUUUUGUUGCAUUCAUUUGCCUACUGAGCUGUGAUGAGUUAGUGUGGCUUUACUGUCACCAGAAAAUAUACUCAUGGUUUAUUUUGGUUGUUCCAGUUAA